rnacentral:misc_RNA from 1 species
GAUGAAGAACGCAGCGAAGUGCGAUAAGUAAUGUGAAUUGCAGAAUUCAGUGAAUCAUCGAAUCUUUGAACGCACAUUGCGCCCGCCAGUAUUCUGGCGGGCAUGCCUGUCCGAGCGUCAUUUCAACCCUCAAGCCCCCGGGCUUGGUGUUGGAGAUCGGCGAGCCCCCCGGGGCGCGCCGUCUCCCAAAUAUAGUGGCGGUCCCGCUGUAGCUUCCUCUGCGUAGUAGCACACCUCGCACUGGGAAACAGCGUGGCCACGCCGUAAAACCCCCCACUUCUGAAAGGUUGACCUCGGAUCAGGUAGGAAUACCCGCUGAACUUAAGCAUAUCAAUAAGCGGAGGA